rnacentral:rRNA from 1 species
CUAGAACGAACGCUGGCGGCGUGCUUAACACAUGCAAGUCGAACGCGAAAGGGACUUCGGUCCUGAGUAAAGUGGCGCACGGGUGAGUAACGCGUAGAUAACCUGUCUUCAUGUCUGGAAUAAUACGCCGAAAGGGGUACUAAUACCGGAUAUUCUUGCUUUUCAUAAGUUAUGCAAGCAAAGGUGGCCUCUGCAUAUGCUACUGCAUGAAGAGGGGUCUGCGUACCAUUAGCUAGUAGGUGGGGUAAUGGCCUACCUAGGCGACGAUGGUUAGCGGGUCUGAGAGGAUGAUCCGCCACACUGGCACUGGAACACGGGCCAGACUCCUACGGGAGGCAGCAGUGAGGAAUAUUGCGCAAUGGGGGAAACCCUGACGCAGCGACGCCGCGUGAGUGAGGAAAGGCCUUCGGGUCGUAAAGCUCUGUCAAGAGGAAAGAAGUGUACAAUGGCUAAUACCUGUUGUAUUUGACGGUACCUCUAAAGGAAGCACCGGCUAACUCCGUGCCAGCAGCUGC